rnacentral:rRNA from 1 species
CCUACGGGUGGCAGCAGUGGGGAAUAUUGCACAAUGGGGGAAACCCUGAUGCAGCGACGCCGCGUGAGUGAAGAAGUAUUUCGGUAUGUAAAGCUCUAUCAGCAGGGAAGAAAUAGCGACCUUUGGGUCGCCAGACGGUACCUGAUUAAGAAGCCCCGGCUAACUACGUGCAAGCAGCCGCGGUUAUACGGAGGGGGCAAGCGUUAUCCGGAUUUACUGGGUGGAAAGGGGGCGUCGACGGCAGCGCAAGUCUGAAGGGAAAUGCCGGGGCUUAACCCCGGAACUGCUUUGGAAACUGUGCAGCUAGAGUGCAGGAGAGGUAAGUGGAAUUCCUAGUGUAGCGGUGAACUGCGUAGAUAUUAGGAGGAACACCAGUGGCGAAGGCGGCUUACUGGACUGUAACUGACGUUGAGGCUCGAAAGCGUGGGGAGCAAACAGGAUUAGAUACCCCAGUAGUC